AUUGAACGCUGGCGGCAGGCCUAACACAUGCAAGUCGAACGGUAACAGGAAACAGCUUGCUGUUUCGCUGACGAGUGGCAGACGGGUGAGUAAUGUCUGGGAAACUGCCUGAUGGAGGGGGAUAACUACUGGAAACGGUAGCUAAUACCGCAUAACGUCGCAAGACCAAAGAGGGGGACCUUCGGGCCUCUUGCCAUCGGAUGUGCCCAGAUGGGAUUAGCUAGUAGGUGGGGUAACGGCUCACCUAGGCGACGAUCCCUAGCUGGUCUGAGAGGAUGACUAGCCACACUGGAACUGAGACACGGUCCAGACUCCUACGGGAGGCAGCAGUGGGGAAUAUUGCACAAUGGGCGCAAGCCUGAUGCAGCCAUGCCGCGUGUAUGAAGAAGGCCUUCGGGUUGUAAAGUACUUUCAGCGGGGAGGAAGGGAGUAAAGUUAAUACCUUUGCUCAUUGACGUUACCCGCAGAAGAAGCACCGGCUAACUCCGUGCCAGCCGCCGCAGUAACAC
rnacentral:rRNA from 1 species